rnacentral:rRNA from 1 species
GAUGAACGCUGGCGGCGUGCCUAAUACAUGCAAGUCGAGCGAACGGACGAGAAGCUUGCUUCUCUGAUGUUAGCGGCGGACGGGUGAGUAACACGUGGAUAACCUACCUAUAAGACUGGGAUAACUUCGGGAAACCGGAGCUAAUACCGGAUAAUAUUUUGAACCGCAUGGUUCAAAAGUGAAAGACGGUCUUGCUGGCACUUAUAGAUGGAUCCGCGCUGCAUUAGCUAGUUGGUAAGGUAACGGCUUACCAAGGCAACGAUGCAUAGCCGACCUGAGAGGGUGAUCGGCCACACUGGAACGGAGACACGGUCAAGACUCCUAAGGGAGGCAGCAGUAGGGAAUCUUCCGCAAUGGGCGAAAGCCUGACGGAGCAACGCCGCGUGAGUGAUGAAGGUCUUCGGAUCGUAAAACUCUGUUAUUAGGGAAGAACAUAUGUGUAAGUAACUGUGCACAUCUUGACGGUACCUAAUCAGAAAGCCACGGCUAACUACGUG